AGGGAUGUAGCGCAGCUUGGUAGCGCGGUCAAAAAUUUCACGGGUUCCAAUCCUGUCAUCCCUA
rnacentral:tRNA from 1 species